AUGACGGCAUUAGAUAAGACCACUGGACAGGAUAUCCAGACAUUACAAAAGGCAAUGGUAAACAGAUUUGAAAAGAUUGAGGAAAUGAUCAGAUUUGGUGAAGAAGAACAAAAGUCACUGAGCACACAGGUCCUUAUCUUGGAGGGGAGCUGGAUCACUCUCUUCCUCCUGUCACUAACUACAGGUGUCCACUCCCAGGAUCAGUUGCAGCAGUCUGGGCCUGAUCUUGCGAGUCCUGAGACCUCAGUGAAAUUGUCCUGCAGGGCCUCUUAUGAUAUCACUAAUUACUAUAUUCACUGGGUGAAGCAGAGUCCUGGUCAGGGCCUAGAGUGGAUUGCGAGGAUUUAUCCUGAAUAUGAUAAUACUAACUACAAUCAGAAGUUCCAGGGCAAGGCCACACUGACUGCAGACACAUCCUCCAACACAGCCUACAUGGAGCUCAGAAGCCUGACAUCUGAGGACUCUGCAGUCUAUUACUGUGCGAGACACAGUGUUGCAACCACAUCUUGA